GGCGAGGUAGCUCAGUUGGUUAGAGCGCAGCACUCAUAAUGCUGAGGUCCGGAGUUCGAGCCUCCGCUUCGCUA
rnacentral:tRNA from 1 species